GACGAACGCUGGCGGCGUGCUUAACACAUGCAAGUCGAACGGAAAGGCCCUGCUUUUGUGGGGUGCUCGAGUGGCGAACGGGUGAGUAACACGUGAGUAACCUGCCCUUGACUUUGGGAUAACUUCAGGAAACUGGGGCUAAUACCGGAUAGGAGCUCCUGCUGCAGGGUGGGGGUUGGAAAGUUUCGGCGGUUGGGGAUGGACUCGCGGCUUAUCAGCUUGUUGGUGGGGUAGUGGCUUACCAAGGCUUUGACGGGUAGCCGGCCUGAGAGGGUGACCGGCCACAUUGGGACUGAGGUACGGCCCAGACUCCUACGGGAGGCAGCAGUGGGGAAUAUUGCACAAUGGGCGGAAGCCUGAUGAAGCAACGCCGCGUGCGGGAAGACGGCCUUCGGGUUGUAAACCGCUUUCGCCUGUGACGAAGCGGGAUUGACGGUAAUGGGUAAAGAAGCACCGGCUAACUACGUG
rnacentral:rRNA from 1 species